AAAGCAACAGUUAUAAAAAAGCAGUACUGAAAAUCUGAAAAAGUCUGAUAAAAUUUACAAAUGCAAACUACCACUUUGUACAAAAUCUUUUUUAAAGAAAGUUUAGUCAUAUUUUUUAAAAUACAGUUUUAACAGCUCAGAAAUGCCCAUUUUUUUCAAACUGUUUAGGUAUUAUUUUCGUCUGUGUGGGGAAUACUCCCUUCGUCUAUCCUCAUGUUUUCUUGAUUCCCUGUACUGGUCAGAGUAAUGGUUGUACUUCUCUCUGAGUCUCUCUGAGCCAUUUCUGUAUCGGUGGUCAUCUUCUUCCUCCCUUGGACUUGACUUAUUAUAGGAUCUCUCUCCAGACUUGGAUCUUUCCCUUUUUCUACUCCGAUGUCCAUUAUCUCUGCUCCCAUGUCUAUAACUUUCAUCAUCAGAAAAAGAAGCUCUUCUUUCUGCUUUCUUCAGUUUAGAAUUGCUGUGUUUAUUUUCUAGAUCCUUACUUCUCUCAUGGUCCCUAUCCCUUCCACUAUGGUAAUUGUCUCUACCAUUAGACUCAUCCCUCUGAUGGUAUUUUGAUACAUCAUCUCUCCUAUAUGCUUCGUAAUCGUCUCUGCCAUUAGACUCAUCCCUGUGAUGAUAUUUUGAUGUGUCAUCCCUCCUAUGUGCCUCUCUCAGAUUUCGGUGAUUUCUUUCUGACUUGCUCUCACUAUCACUUCUGUCCUCUUGCCGUCUUCUUCCCGUCUUCUUUUCAAGCGAUUUCCUUUUCUUUUCUUGUUUUUUCCGGGAAGCUUUAUCAGAUUCUCUGUUUUUCUUUUGUGUUCUCCUUUUUUUAGCUUUGGAAGCAUCUGAGUCACUGCUGUCACUACUGCUGGAUGAGGAGUCACUGCUGCUGGAUGACUCUGAGCUACUGCUGCUGCUGUCAGAAUCAGAAUCUGAAGAAGAGUCUGUUUCCGAAGAUGAAGAUGAAUCUGAUGACUCAACAUCUUGUUUCUGAGUCAUUAUCAUCUUUGGUGCAUUUUUCAGAUGCUCCCGUA
rnacentral:lncRNA from 1 species